rnacentral:lncRNA from 1 species
CUUUUAAUGACAUCUUUGAGAACCCGACUUGCAAUACGUCUAGAGUCAACUAGUAAUAUUCUUCAGUAUGGUUUAAUGUUCACUAUAUCUUCAUAUUUUCAAUAAAAUUUUUGUUAAACAUACGUAUGCCUCAGCAGAAAUAAUACAAACUUAAUUGUUUUCAGCUUUUACUCCAGUUCAGAAUGGACGUGUAAUUAGUGAGACAGUCCUUGUUACUUUUAUUUUAGCUUUGUUACACCCAUUUUUAGUGUAUUUUCCUUGUAUUUUACGUUUACCAAGGUCAAUGAGCAAAGAUGUCACAAAAAAAAAGCAAGACCUAAAAACCUGUGAAGAAUUUUUCGAGGUUGCAUUUUUCUUUAUCGAAUUUUAUAAUGAAUGUUAAGUAUUUAAUUUUAUUCUAAAGAAACAAGAGACUUGCUCUGAACAAUUUCACACAUGGCCGUUUUGGCUUACUCCUCGCAUGGAGAAUUGGUCUGACAGCAUGGAUCUACAAAUAUGUUUACCCUGUCAAUCUCAUUUUGAAAAAACAGUCCAGCUAUGCCAAUGCUAGUGAAGGUAAAAUGAAGAUAUAAUAUGAAUUUGUAACAUAGUGGUAAAAUAGUGCUGAGUCCGUACUUACUACUUACUUGCGGGGAAAGUAAGGCCAAAAAGUUCAAAAAUUGUUUCUUAAAUUACAGCGUUAUUGAAGCGCUCCCCUACAGAAUUGGAAAAAAACUAAAAUCAUCAGCUUGUGUAAUUUGUACUGUAGAGCGGCAAAGUCGCUAACUCAUUUUUGCCAAAGUUGUCAGUUAGGCGGUGUUUUUCAUUAGCCCUCGAUAUGCUUUACUAUCACUUACUUUUUUGUUUUGUUACAGAGAACUUCGUAAAAUAUUUCCAAAUCUGAAAGUCUUGGAUAAUGUAGAAUUGAAACCGGUUAUAUCAUUUGACACGAAGACCCCAAAAAAACUGUUACCCCCUCAAGAGGUUUUCUCUUGUGGUAUAGCCCAUCUAGAGAUUGUCGAUCGAUUCAUUCAUGAAUACUUUCAAAUUUAUGAUAGCAACAACAGAAUACAGUUACUAGAAGCAUAUGAUCUUACUUCCCAAUUUAGCUUAUCAUACCAUUUGCCAACUCACUGUGAAAACGCAAAGAGCAUGCUGUACAGUGAUGGAAAUAUUGAAGAUUACCUUGAAUUGAAUCGAAACUUGUGCGAAGUCAAGAAUAAGUUCACAGGAAAGAUAGAUUAUACUACGGCAAAGAAAAUAUAA